GCGUUGAUGGUCCAUUGGUACGAUCCUUGCUUGCCAUGCAAGGGAACCGAGUUCGAUUCUCGGUCAACGCA
rnacentral:tRNA from 1 species